rnacentral:rRNA from 1 species
GCUGGCGGCGGCCUACACAUGCAGUCGAGCGGUAGAGGGAAGCUUGCUUCUCUUGAGAGCGGCGGACGGGUGAGUAAUGCCUAGGAAUCUGCCUAGUGGUGGGGGAUAACGUUCGGAAACGGACGCUAAUACCGCAUACGUCCUACGGGAGAAAGCGGGGGACCUUCGGGCCUCGCGCCAUUAGAUGAGCCUAGGUCGGAUUAGCUAGUUGGUGAGGUAAUGGCUCACCAAGGCUACGAUCCGUAACUGGUCUGAGAGGAUGAUCAGUCACACUGGAACUGAGACACGGUCCAGACUCCUACGGGAGGCAGCAGUGGGGAAUAUUGGACAAUGGGCGAAAGCCUGAUCCAGCCAUGCCGCGUGUGUGAAGAAGGUCUUCGGAUUGUAAAGCACUUUAAGUUGGGAGGAAGGGUAGUAACUUAAUACGUUGCUACUUUGACGUUACCGACAGAAUAAGCACCGGCUAACUUCGUGCCAGCAGCCGCGGUAAUACGAAGGGUGCAAGCGUUAAUCGGAAUUACUGGGCGUAAAGCGCGCGUAGGUGGUUCAGUAAGUUGGAUGUGAAAUCCCCGGGCUCAACCUGGGAACUGCAUCCAAAACUGCUGAGCUAGAGUACGGUAGAGGGUAGUGGAAUUUCCUGUGUAGCGGUGAAAUGCGUA